CCUACGGGAGGCAGCAGUAGGGAAUCUUCCGCAAUGGACGAAAGUCUGACGGAGCAACGCCGCGUGAACGAUGAAGGCCUUCGGGUCGUAAAGUUCUGUUGUUAGGGAAGAACAAGUGCUAGUUGAAUAAGCUGGCACCUUGACGGUACCUAACCAGAAAGCCACGGCUAACUACGUGCCAGCAGCCGCGGUAAUACGUAGGUGGCAAGCGUUGUCCGGAAUUAUUGGGCGUAAAGCGCGCGCAGGCGGUUUCUUAAGUCUGAUGUGAAAGCCCCCGGCUCAACCGGGGAGGGUCAUUGGAAACUGGGAAACUUGAGUGCAGAAGAGGAAAGUGGAAUUCCAAGUGUAGCGGUGAAAUGCGUAGAGAUUUGGAGGAACACCAGUGGCGAAGGCGACUUUCUGGUCUGUAACUGACGCUGAGGCGCGAAAGCGUGGGGAGCAAACAGGAUUAGAUACCCUGGUAGUCCACGCUGUAAACGAUGAGUGCUAAGUGUUAGAGGGUUUCCGCCCUUUAGUGCUGAAGUUAACGCAUUAAGCACUCCGCCUGGGGAUACGGUCGCAAGACUGAAACUUAAAUGAAUUGACCGG
rnacentral:rRNA from 1 species